GAGUGAACGCUGGCGGUAGGCCUACCCCAUGCAAGUCGAACGGCAGCACAGUAAGAGCUUGCUCUUACGGGUGGCGAGUGGCGGACGGGUGAGGAAUACAUCGGAAUCUACUUUUUCGUGGGGGAUAACGUAGGGAAACUUACGCUAAUACCGCAUACGACCUACGGGUGAAAGCAGGGGAUCUUCGGACCUUGCGCGAUUGAAUGAGCCGAUGUCGGAUUAGCUAGUUGGCGGGGUAAAGGCCCACCAAGGCGACGAUCCGUAGCUGGUCUGAGAGGAUGAUCAGCCACACUGGAACUGAGACACGGUCCAGAAUCCUACGGGAGGCAGCAGUGGGGAAUAUUGGACAAUGGGCGCAAGCCUGAUCCAGCCAUACCGCGUGGGUGAAGAAGGCCUUCGGGUUGUAAAGCCCUUUUGUUGGGAAAGAAAAGCAGCAGGUUAAUACCCCGCUGUUCUGACGGUACCCAAAGAAUAAGCACCGGCUAACUUCGUG
rnacentral:rRNA from 1 species